GUGGUGACUGGUCAGAGGAGGUGGUGGUGGUGGUGACUGGUCAGAGGAGGUGGUGGUGGUGGUGACUGGUCAGAGGAGGUGGUGGUGGUGACUGGUCAGAGGAGGUGGUGGUGGUGGUGACUGGUCAGAGGAAGUGUUGGCGACUCUGGUCAGAGGAGGUGGUGGCGACUCUGGUCAGAGGAGGUGGUGGCGACUCUGGUCAGAGGAGGUGGAGGUGUUGGUGACUGGUCAGAGGAGGUGUUGGUAACUCUGGUCAGCAUGUCCAAGGGCAGGUAGGGAGUCCCAUGUCAUCAAGGCAUCCCUGUAAUCUGCAUCUUCUUCCUCUGUAUUGGGGCUCUGUGAUGAAGUUUGAUCUUCCCUCAGAGGACAGUCCACAAGCCGUCCCACUGACAACUCGGCGUGCAUAGCCUACAGUCCUCCUCUUGGGUCACUGUUGGUGGAAAACAACCCAAAAGUGUAACUCCUCUUGGGUCACCGUUGGUGGAAAACCAGCCAUGUCACCCUUUAUUCAAGUCAGUAUUCGACGUCCAUCUAUGUCUGAGGACGUCGAGAGAUGACAGGGAAACUGACCACCAGGGGCAACAGUGAGCGCUGUUACCUUCAAGUAGGUUUCGUUUUGCUAGGGUGGGGAUGGGCGUAAACUUGAUUCAAAAGGUUGCAAGGUCGAAUCCAGCGAUAGAAAGUUGUUUUUUGAUAUAUUAGUUUUAAGCCUACCCUAAAUCUUUACCCUUUCCAUCCGGAGCUAAAGUUAACCUUAAACGCUUCAGAAUUGGACUUUUCAGAAAGAAUGGAUAAACGUCUACUUGUGAUGCGAGACUGAGAGCUAGUUGGGAAAACAACCCAAAACCAGUAGGUUCAAUCUGAAUAAAACACCUGCUAGCUAGCAUUUUAAUGCUUUUAUGGGAAGGAAUCCAAUUAA